GACGAACGCUAGCGGCGUGCCUAAUACAUGCAAGUAGGACGCAGUUGCGAACGGGUGAGUAACGCGUAGGUAACUACCUAUUCGUGGGUGAUAACUAUUGGAAACGAUAGCUAAUACCGCAUACUAGUAGAUGGACCUGCGUUGUAUUAUCUAGUAGGUAGGGUAAUGGCCUACCUAGGCGACGAUACAUAGCCGACCUGGGAGGGGGAGCGGCCACCAUGGGACUUGGACAAGGCCCAGACGCCUACGGGAGGGAGCAGUAGGGAAACUUUGGAAAUGGGGGGAACCCUGACCGAGCACUGCCGCGGGAGUGAAGAAGGUUUUCGGAUCGUAAAGGUCUGUUGUUAAGGAAGCGGUACUUAACCAGAAAGGGACGGCUAACUACGUGCCAGCAGCCGCGGUAAUUC
rnacentral:rRNA from 1 species